CUACGGGGAUGAUUUUGAGAAUUGAACUCUCUCUUUCUGAUGUGUUAGUGGAGAAAGCACAAAAUUCUGAGUAGC
rnacentral:snoRNA from 1 species